rnacentral:rRNA from 1 species
GACGAACGCUGGCGGCAUGCCUAACACAUGCAAGUCGAACGGAGAUUAUUUCGGUAAUCUUAGUGGCGAACGGGUGAGUAACGCGUGGGCAACCUGCCCUCUAGAUGGGGACAACAUCCCGAAAGGGGUGCUAAUACCGAAUGUGACAGCAAUCUCGCAUGAGGAUGCUGUGAAAGAUGGCCUCUAUUUAUAAGCUAUCGCUAGAGGAUGGGCCUGCGUCUGAUUAGCUAGUUGGUGGGGUAACGGCCUACCAAGGCGAUGAUCAGUAGCCGGUCUGAGAGGAUGAACGGCCACAUUGGGACUGAGACACGGCCCAGACUCCUACGGGAGGCAGCAGUGGGGAAUCUUCCGCAAUGGGCGAAAGCCUGACGGAGCAAUGCCGCGUGAGUGAUGAAGGAAUUCGUUCCGUAAAGCUCUUUUGUUUAUGACGAAUGUGCAGAUUGCGAACAAUGAUCUGUAAUGACGGUAGUAAACGAAUAAGCCACGGCUAACUACGUG